UUGAGGUCAAAUUUCAAAAUUGUUCUUCCUUCUGUCCACGUAUAUUCUAUUUGUUAACCCUGUUGUCUUUCCUCUGGAUUUCAUUUCUACAUCAACUCAUGUCACAUGACAUGAGUUGACCAACAAUUAAAGCAGAAGACCAGCUCCGCCUGUAAUCCUCCUCCUUCAACACCACCAGUCAGGUGGAGGAAGAUAAGAGAACCCAGUUGACUAAAAAAAUUGACCAACAAUUAAAGCAGAAGACCUGCUCCACCUGCUGAUCUACUGGUUGUAACAGCUUGUGGGAAAGCAUCACUGGACCAAUCAGGCGAGAGAAGACAGAGAGGACUGAGGACUGAAACGAAAAUACUCUGCCUUCCAAAAAAGGUAGACGAUCCAGUGGCCCCAGGUUUACACACCAUCUGUUGGUUUGAGGCAGACCGACCGCUGGGGAGAUGGACCUCACCUGGCACCAUUACUCUGGAUGUAACAGGAAGCUCGACUCUGCUGUCAAAACAUCAAUGACUCGAGAAGCGGACAGCGAGAUUUCUGGUGCCUGGCUGGAGACGAGAUUCUGAUUAUUCAAGAGCCAAAACAAAAUGUCAGAAUAAAUAGUUAGAAGGCAGAUUUGUUUUCUAUUUGUUGUUGUUUUUAUUAUUAAUGCUCCACGACACAAAAUGUAUCACUGCUGUAACUCUUGACUUUAAUAAAAUGUUC